rnacentral:rRNA from 1 species
UAAGCAUAUCAAUAAGCGGAGGAAAAGAAACCAACAGGGAUUGCCCCAGUAACGGCGAGUGAAGCGGCAACAGCUCAAAUUUGAAAUCUGGCCCCAGGCCCGAGUUGUAAUUUGCAGAGGAUGCUUUUGGCGCGGUGCCUUCCGAGUUCCCUGGAACGGGACGCCAUAGAGGGUGAGAGCCCCGUACGGUUGGACACCAAGCCUUUGUAAAGCUCCUUCGACGAGUCGAGUAGUUUGGGAAUGCUGCUCUAAAUGGGAGGUACAUUUCUUCUAAAGCUAAAUAUUGGCCAGAGACCGAUAGCGCACAAGUAGAGUGAUCGAAAGAUGAAAAGCACUUUGGAAAGAGGGUUAAACAGCACGUGAAAUUGUUAAAAGGGAAGCGCUUGUGACCAGACUUGCGUCCGGUGAAUCACCCAGCUCUCGCGGCUGGGGCACUUCGCCGGCACAGGCCAGCAUCAGCUUGCCGUCGGGGACAAAAGCUUCAGGAACGUGGCUCCUCUCGGGGAGUGUUAUAGCCUGUUGCAUAAUACCCUUCGGCGGGCUGAGGUACGCGCUCCGCAAGGAUGCUGGCGUAAUGGUCAUCAGCGACCCGUCUUGAAACACGGACCAAGGAGUCAACCUUAUGUGCGAGUGUUUGGGUGUUAAACCCCUACGCGUAAUGAAAGUGAACGCAGGUGAGAGCUUCGGCGCAUCAUCGACCGAUCCUGAUGUUCUCGGAUGGAUUUGAGUAAGAGCAUAUAGGGUUGGACCCGAAAGAAGGUGAACUAUGCGUGUGUAGGGUGAAGCCAGAGGAAACUCUGGUGGAGGCUCGCAGCGGUUCUGACGUGCAAAUCGAUCGUCAAACAUGCGCAGGGGGGCAAAAGACUAAUCGAACCUUCUAGUAGCUGGUUUCCGCCGAA